rnacentral:rRNA from 1 species
UGCAAGUCGUGCGGACCUUUUAAAAGCUUGCUUUUAAAAGGUUAGCGGCGGACGGGUGAGUAACACGUGGGCAACCUGCCUGUAAGACUGGGAUAACGCCGGGAAACCGGGGCUAAUACUGGAUCGUUUUUUCCUCCGCAUGGAGGAAAAAGGAAAGGCGGCUUCGGCUGCCACUUACAGAUGGGCCCGCGGCGCAUUAGCUAGUUGGCGGGGUAACGGCCCACCAAGGCAACGAUGCGUAGCCGACCUGAGAGGGUGAUCGGCCACAUUGGGACUGAGACACGGCCCAAACUCCUACGGGAGGCAGCAGUAGGGAAUCUUCCGCAAUGGACGAAAGUCUGACGGAGCAACGCCGCGUGAGUGAAGAAGGCCUUCGGGUCGUAAAACUCUGUUGCCGGGGAAGAACAAGUGCCGUUCGAACAGGGCGGCGCCUUGACGGUACCCGGCCAGAAAGCCACGGCUAACUAC